rnacentral:sRNA from 1 species
GCUGGGUGUGGUGGUGCACGCCUGCAAUCCCAGCAGCUUGGGAGGCUGAGGCAGGAGGAUCGUGAGUUCAAAGCCCAGCUCAGCAAGUUAGCGAGACCCUAUUUUUUGGGGGGUGGGGUACUGGGGAUAGAACUCAGGGGCACUCAACCACUGAACCACAUCCUUAGCCCUACUUUGUAUUUUAUUUAGAGACAGGGCCUCACUGAGUUGCUUGGCACCUCUCUGUUGCUGAGGCUGGCUUUGGACUUGAGAUCCUCCUGCCUCAG